UACGUAGGGUGCAAGCAUUAAUCGGAAUUAUUGGGCGUAAAGGGCGCGUAGGCGGUAAAACAAGUCAGAUGUGAAAUUCCAAAGCUCAACUUUGGAGCUGCAUAUGAAACUGUUUAACUAAGAGGAGUGGCGGAGAAAGCGGAAUUCCACGUGUAGCGGUGAAAUGCGUAGAUAUGUGGAAGAACACCGGUGGCGAAAGCGGCUUUCUAGCUACUAACUGACGCUGAGGCGCGAGAGCAAGGGGAGCAAACAGG
rnacentral:rRNA from 1 species